UCCGUAGGUGGAUAAUUAAGUCAGAGGUGAAAUCCUGCAGCUCAACUGUAGAAUUGCCUUUGAUACUGGUUAUCUUGAGUCAUUAUGAAGUGGUUAGAAUGUGUAGUGUAGCGGUGAAAUGCAUAGAUAUUACACAGAAUACCGAUUACGAAGGCAGAUCACUAAUAAUGUACUGACACUGAGGUACGAAAGCGUGGGGAGCGAACAGGAUUAGAUACCCUGGUAGUCC
rnacentral:rRNA from 1 species